UUGAUUGAAAUGAAACAGAGUGAAAAGAUCCAAGAGUUGUUUGAUGCCGUGUUCAAAAAAUGGGGCUUGGAAGUAGAGAAAUCUCUUCGGAGCAACAAUUUCAUGUUGAUUUUUGCCGUGUUCGUCUUCUCACGGUUAACUUUCCAGUAAAUGUUGUAUUCAAUCCUUAGUUCUUUUGUUUGACAACUAAGCUUCCACAUACCAUAGACAGACAGGAAGAAGAGGAGCGUUUUGUGAGGGAGCUAUUGAGGCAGAGAGGAAGCACAAAGGAGAAGAAGAACUUAGUUUAUCUUUAAAGAUUAGGUUUCAACACACCGAGCUGCUCUCAAGUGUAAUCAGAAGUUGCUUUCUCCUCUAUCAAUGAUUAUUUGACAAGAGAGCAUCCCCAAUUCUUCAUAUAUCAAUUAUCACGGUACUCAAGUACAUCCACAUUGGUAUUUCAUUUUCUUUUGGUCUCUGACUUUACCUUUUUCAUCAUUCAAUCUCUUUAUGUGUAUAUAAUAUCUGUCUAGAGAUCACUGACUUCCACAGAUUAUAGCGUAUGUCAAAUUGUCUUUUAAACCUUAACUUUUACUCAGCUACUUAGCCCACUGAUGUAGUAUAUUGGCUUCAUGCUGUUUCCUAAUAUCUCACUUAGUUUUGGCCUUUUGAAUUUUGGUCCCAUCGAGAUUUCUGGAGAUUUUAGUAUGUUUAAUAAUUUAUGUACCUCAGUUGUUGCACUUGCAGCUAAUGUCUAUCACAGAGAUCUGAAGCCAAAGAACAAACUGGCAAAUGAAAACUGUAAAAUCAAGAUUUGUGAUUUUGGAUUAGGAAGGGGUUUCAUUCAGUGAUAGCCCCACAGCAAUCUUUUGAACGGUAUGGUGAACAAGAUGUCUCUCUAAGAGUCUUUCUCUUCUCCUAAAUAUACACCCGCCAUUGAUAUAUGGAGUAUAGGCUGCAUCUUUUCCGGAGUAUUAGUGAGAAAUCCACUUUCCCUGGAAAGAAUGUGGUUCACCAGAUGGAUCUUAUGACUGAUCUGCUGGGGAAACCUUCCAUGGACACCAUCUCCCGGGUACUGAUCUUCUUAGACAUAAGGUUUUGAGGUAUCACGAUUUGGGACCUUGGUUCUAUCGUGGUAUUAAUAAUUCUGGGCUUGGUGGUUCUUCCAUGAUGUUGUCCUCGGUCUAUGUGAGGCCAAACUGGUUCCGUCAUCACUGUCUUUUUGAAUCACAAGGCAACUUUCUACUUGAACUCUUUAAGAUGUCAUGGAGUUUAUUAAAGUAAGCUGAGGCUGCUUCAACACAAAAUGGAGAACUUUAACAAGACACAUAUUACGAUUGUAGCAUAGAGGGAAACACAUCAACUUGGCAAUUGAGCAAUUUAAAGCACUAUAAGAAUGACAUGUUCCUACAUCUUAUAGUCAAUUUCAGUAUGUUUUUCAGUGUCCGGACUUAUAGUAUUAUAGGGAGUUUAGCUUGUGCUCACUUACAAAUGAAAAACAUACAUGUUUGGGUUGUUUUCUUCGGGUCUUAAUGAUGUCUCUCAUCACUGUUUUUGAUAUUAAGAUGAUCCUUUUUUAUUUGUUUGUCCCUGAGACAUUUGCAUAUUUGGAAUGAGAGUGUUGGGGGCAGUAAUAGCGAUAGAAACAAACAUGGAGGGAUUACUCGAGCAGAGAUCUAGGUCUUAAGGAUUUUGAGUGGGCCAUACCGUCAUACCCAUCCUUUCUGGUAUCAUAGAGCAGAUCAAAAUGACUCGACAAGUGAUUGCUGAAGCCAAAAAUCCGGUUACCAGUAUGGUGCUUGAGAGAUGCAAGAUGACAUUCCAGGGUCUAAUGCUUACAUUACUGGACUAAUUAUUAUUGGUGGAGUGACUAUGUUUCCUUCUACUCUCUAGGUCACAAAAUAAAAUAUUGGAUCUUCAAGAAGUUUAUGUUGGCGAUGUUUUGACGUCUUUUGGUGCUUUUUUUGUUCGAGGGAAGGUUAACAAGACCUUGAUAAGGACGAUGGUGAUUGCAUUGAAGGAUCUGUAUACAGAGUUUGUUUUGAAUGAUUCAAAUAGAUCAAUCAGCUGUUAUCUGUUUCUUUAAUAGGAGCUUUCAAGUGCUUCUGCCAUGGCCGCUGCUUUGUAUUGGGAGAAGAAUCAGGUAGAUUAGUUGAGAGAGAUAUAUACAGGCUAAAUUGUUAUGGCUUUAAUUUUGUUCUGUUUUUUGGAAUGUAAUGUAUAGUGUGCAGAGUGAGAUGUGGUGUCUAUGUUGUACUGUAUGGUUUUCAAUUCUUUGAGGAAACCCUGUAAAAGUGUUUGGUGUUUAAUUGUUUUCAAAAACGAAAACAUAUUCUAAAAUGUAGAAAGCUGUAUCAAAUUACAAUAAAUCAUGUUUCAGUAU